GCCAGGCAUGGUGGUGCGUGCCUGUAAUCCCAGCUACUCAGGAGGCUGAGGCAGGAGAAUCACUUGAACCCGGGAGGCAGAGGUUGCAGUGAGCCAAGAUCGCGCCACUGCACUCCAGCCUGGGUGACAGAGUGAGACUCCGUCUCAA
rnacentral:SRP_RNA from 1 species